CCAAACAUGGCAAGAUAAGGGGCGCCCAACUCUUGAGCACCACCUCCUUAUUUUUGUGUAUGGAUCACUAGCAAAGGGUUCAUAAUAUGUACCCUAAAAUCCAUGAAAAUUCCAAAAAAAAUUUGGAUAAAUUCAGUGCAAAAUUGAAAGAGUUUUGGAUUUCUAAAACUCUAUCUCAUAGAAUUUGAAAUCCAAACUUAUUCCUCUUUGAUUUGAUCCAAACCACCUUCCAUGUAAGAAAGAAGAGAGGAAACCUUUUGUGAACGUGGG
rnacentral:lncRNA from 1 species